UUCUGGCUCAGGACGAACGCUGGCGGCGUGCCUAACACAUGCAAGUCGAACGGAGUAAGAAUUUCGAUUCUACUUAGUGGCGAACGGGUGAGUAACGCGUGAACAACCUGCCUUUCUGAGGGGGAUAACACCUGGAAACAAGUGCUAAUACCGCAUAAGACCACAUAUCCGCAUGGAUGAGGGGUCAAAGGAGAGAUCCGCAGGAAGAGGGGUUCGCGUCCCAUUAGCUAGUUGGCGGGGCAACGGCCCACCAAGGCGACGAUGGGUAGCCGAGCUGAGAGGCUGAUCGGCCACACUGGAACUGAGACACGGUCCAGACUCCUACGGGAGGCAGCAGUGGGGAAUAUUGGGCAAUGGGCGCAAGCCUGAACCCCAGCAACGCCGCGUGAGGGAAGAAGGUCUUCGGAUUGUAAACCUCUGUCCUAUGUGACGAAGGAAGUGACGGUAGCAUAGGAGGAAGCCCCGGCUAACUACGUGCCAGCCGCGGC
rnacentral:rRNA from 1 species